CCUACGGGUGGCAGCAGUAGGGGAUAUUGCUCAAUGGGGGAAACCCUGAAGCAGCAACGCCGCGUGGAGGAUGAAGGUUUUCGGAUUGUAAACUCCUUUUGUUAGAGAAGAUAAUGACGGUAUCUAACGAAUAAGCACCGGCUAACUCCGUGCCAGCAGCCGCGGUAAUACGGAGGGUGCAAGCGUUACCCGGAAUUACUGGGCGUAAAGAGCGCGUAGGCGGGAUAGCAAGUCAGAUGUGAAAUCCUAUGGCUUAACCAUAGAACUGCAUUUGAAACUGUUAUUCUAGAGUAUUGGAGAGGUAGGUGGAAUUCUUGGUGUAGGGGUAAAAUGCGUAGAGAUCAAGAGGAAUACUCAUUGCGAAGGCGACCUGCUAGAACAUAACUGACGCUGAUGCGCGAAAGCGUGGGGAGCAAACAGGAUUAGAUACCCGAGUAGUC
rnacentral:rRNA from 1 species